rnacentral:rRNA from 1 species
GACCAGACUCCUACGGGAGGCAGCAGUGGGGAAUAUUGCACAAUGGGGGGAACCCUGAUGCAGCGACGCCGCGUGGGUGAAGGAGCACCUCGGUGCGUAAAGCCCUAUCGGCAGGGAAGAAAAGCGAACAGGUUCGCCUGGACGGUACCUGACUAAGAAGCCCCGGCUAACUACGUGCCAGCAGCCGCGGGAAUACGUAGGGGGCAAGCGUUAUCCGGAUUCACUGGGUGUAAAGGGAGCGUAGACGGCCAUGCAAGCCUGGAGUGAAAGCCCGGGGCCCAACCCCGGGACUGCUCUGGGAACUGUGCGGCUGGAGUGCGGGAGGGGCAGGCGGAAUUCCUGGUGUAGCGGUGAAAUGCGUAGAUAUCAGGAGGAACACCGGCGGCGAAGGCGGCCUGCUGGACCGCGACUGACGUUGAGGCUCGAAAGCGUGGGGAGCAAACAGGAUUAGAUACCCGCGUAUG